GCUUGAGAAUAGUGUUUGAUGUUGUGUGUUUUUUCAAACUCUGAUGUUGUCUCCCCUCCUUUAACUUUGAGUGUGCUCUUCUUUUAUAUUGAAGAGUAAAGGAUUUUUGUUGGGUUUUGAUUUAUAAAAGGGAAUGGAAUUGGAAAUGCUAGACCAUGUUUUUCCAAAUGCAUGUUUGCUCUGAAAAAGCAUUGCGCCCUUGUACCUUGCUUGUCUGCUUCUUUUGGAUUGUUAUGCUCUUUUUACUAUAUUACAUUUGUUAAUGUUACUUCUUUACUGUAGUAAAAUGUGAAUUGAGUGGAAUUGGCUUACUAUACAUUAAUGUGGAAUUGCAGUUAUGCUUCAAAUGCGUGAAUGCUAUGAUGCCUUGGACUUGUUGUUGUUGACUUGGACUGCUGUUGGUUUUGGUUGCAUGGUUUGGAAUUUGUUGCAAGUUUUAUGUCCAUUUAUAUGCACAUGGUUAGGUUGCAUUGGAUGCUUGGUCUUCUUGCAGGUAUGAAGUUGUUAGGUAUUUUUGGAAUUGUUUGUAUUUGUUGGGUUUUGCUGCAACAGUUGAAUUGGUGCAGGGUGCUCAUGGAUUGAUGCUUGCUUGCUAUGGCUUUUUGCAGCUUGAUGGAAUUGGAUUGAAAGUGUGUUUGUUCAUAUGAAAUUGCACUGAACUUUGCAGGUUUGUUCUAGUUUGAUGCGGCUGAAAUUGAAUUGAUGCAUGGUUGAAUUGUGAAGGUCUGUUGCAGGUUUGUAUGUUGACCUGCCUUGCUUGAUGUUUGUGCAUGUUUUGGAAUGCAUUGUUGUAAAUUUGGUGAUGGCAAUAUGGUGAAGGUUGGUUGGAAUGAGUGAUGCAUUGCAGAAUUGAGGGUAUUUGGCUAUGGACAGCAGGGCAUUUGGUACAGGAAACAAUGUGGACUAUUUGUCCAUGUAUUUGGAUGUCGCAGAUUCAACUAGUUUGCCCUAUGGUUGGAGUAGAUAUGCACAGUUUAGCUUGGCAAUUGUUAAUCAAAUCCAUAAUAAGUUUUCUGUGAGAAAAGUUAUUUCAACUUGCGAGUUUGUGUUCCGUUGUUCUUUGUUGUCGAGUUGCUCCUCUGCAAAAAGCCGGUAUUGUUUCCCUUGUGAAGAAGAGAACAUCUGACAUGACACUAGCCAUUGGAGACGGUGCUAAUGAUGUUUCAAUGAUUCAAAUGGCUGAUGUCGGAGUCGGCAUCAGUGGAUAAGAGGGCAGGCAAGCUGUAAUGUCAUCAGAUUUCGCAAUGGGACAGUUUAGGUUUUUAGUUCCUCUCUUGUUGGUUCAUGGUCAC